UACGUAGGGUGCAAGCGUUGUCCGGAAUUAUUGGGCGUAAAGAGCUCGUAGGCGGUUUGUCGCGUCGGCUGUGAAAACUCGGGGCUCAACCCCGAGCCUGCAGUCGAUACGGGCAAACUAGAGUGUGGUAGGGGAGACUGGAAUUCCUGGUGUAGCGGUGAAAAUGCACAGAUAUCAGGAGGAACACCGGUGGCGAAGGCGGGUCUCUGGGCCGAUACUGACGCUGAGGAGCGAAAGCAUGGGGAGCGAACAGG
rnacentral:rRNA from 1 species